rnacentral:lncRNA from 1 species
AUGGCUGUGGAGACAACACAACCAACCGCUUCAGAAAUCAAUGAUGCAAAAACUCCGGAAAAAUCGUCCUCUACAACUCCUUCGAGUAGGUAUGGUCGCGCAAGAAAACCUAAAGUAUCGUCUGACUUCGUGGCGCAUGGCAAAAAUGUCAAAAACUUCCUCUCGCCUGGCUCUUGCACAAGUACUACAAAUGGCCAAACUCCUGAACCAUCAAAACAACAGGCGGUUUUGCGAAAGCGAGCAAGCACUUCAUCUAACAGGCUUGCCAAUGCUGAAAAUGCUGGAACUCCUGGAAUCAUGGUAAAUGGCGAAAUUUCUAUUAAAACGCCUGAAAGCUCCUUGAAGGCUAGUAACAAGGUAACGGUUGGAGGUAAGAGGAGAGUCCACAGCUCUCUUGCAGGUGAAAUAGUUUCAGGUACAAUACCUAAUUUUUCGCUCGAUGAGAGCUCAUUAGUUGAAGCAAAUUCUAAUGCAAGCGCACCAGGAAGUGGAACUAAAGUUGCCAGACGUGGACGGGCAAAACAAUCCAUUACGCCUCAACUUAAUGGUGACAUUCCUGAUGCAAACUUGGAAACUUCCACCACAGAAGUUUCUCAUGAAGCCAUUGGAAACACUACUGUUAGUUCGCUUGAUGAAAGCGCAACAGUUGAAGCAAACUGUAGUUCAAGUUUGCCAGGAAGUGUAACUAAAGUUGCCAGGCGUGGACGGGCAAAACAAUCCAUUACGCCUCAACUUAAUGGUGACAUUCCUGAUGCAAACUUGAAAACUUUCACCACAGAAGUCUCUCAUGAAGCCAUUGGAAACACUACUGUUAGUUUGCUUAAUGAAAGCCUAACAGUUAAAGCAAAUUCUAGUGCAAGCGCACCAGGAAGUGGAACUAAAGUUGCCAGACGUGGACGGACAAAACAAUCCAUUACGCCUCAAAUAAAUGGUGACAUUCCUGAUGCAAACUUGAAAACUUCCACCAUAGAAGUUUCUCAUGAAGCCAUUGGAAACACUACCGUUAGUUCGCUUGAUGAAAGCGCAACAGUUGAAGCAAACUGUAGUUCAAGUUUGCCAGGAAGUGUAACGAAAGUUGCCAGGCGUGGACGGGCAAAACAAUCCAUUACGCCUCAACUUAAUGGUGACAUUCCUGAUGCAAACUUGAAAACUUCCACCACAGAAGUCUCUCAUGAAGCCAUUGGAAACACUACUGUUAGUUUGCUUAAUGAAAGUGCAACAGUUAAAGCAAAUUCUAGUGCAAGCGCACCAGGAAGUGGAACUAAAGUUGCCAGACGUGGACGGGCAAAACAAUCCAUUACGCCUCAAAUAAAUGGUGACAUUCCUGAUGCAAACUUGGAAACUUCCACCACAGAAGUCUCUCAUGAAGCCAUUGGAAAACAUACUGUUAGUUUGCUUAAUGAAAGCCUAACAGUUAAAGCAAAUUCUAGUGCAAGCGCACCAGGAAGUGGAACUAAAGUUGCCAGACGUGGACGGACAAAACAAUCCAUUACGCCUCAAAUAAAUGGUGACAUUCCUGAUGCAAACUUGAAAACUUCCACCAUAGAAGUUUCUCAUGAAGCCAUUGGAAACACUACCGUUAGUUCGCUUGAUGAAAGCGCAACAGUUGAAGCAAACUGUAGUUCAAGUUUGCCAGGAAGUGUAACGAAAGUUGCCAGGCGUGGACGGGCAAAACAAUCCAUUACGCCUCAACUUAAUGGUGACAUUCCUGAUGCAAACUUGAAAACUUCCACCACAGAAGUCUCUCAUGAAGCCAUUGGAAACACUACUGUUAGUUUGCUUAAUGAAAGUGCAACAGUUAAAGCAAAUUCUAGUGCAAGCGCACCAGGAAGUGGAACUAAAGUUGCCAGACGUGGACGGGCAAAACAAUCCAUUACGCCUCAACUUAAUGGUGACAUUCCUGAUGCAAACUUGGAAACUUCCACCACAGAAGUCUCUCAUGAAGCCAUCGGAAGCACUUCUGUCUCUAUUCGUCUCGAAGAUAUUGGAGCCAAUGCUGUGAAAACACCUUCAGGCAAGUUAUUCAUAGAAAUUACCGUUUCCGAAUUUUGA